rfam:Micromonospora echinaurantiaca strain DSM 43904 genome assembly, chromosome: I
ACCGGUCUCCGGUAGUGGCCCCCGGGCACCCGGCAUCUCGCCGCCACCCGGGCGCUUCGAUCGAAGACCGGC